AUACGGAGGGUGCAAGCGUUACUCGGAAUCACUGGGCGUAAAGGACGCGUAGGCGGGUUGGCAAGUCAGAUGUGAAAUCCUACAGCUUAACUGUAGAACUGCAUUUGAAACUGCUAACCUAGAGUAUGGGAGGGGGAGAUGGAAUUAGUGGUGUAGGGGUAAAAUCCGUAGAUAUCACUAGGAAUACCGAAAGCGAAGGCGAUCUCCUGGAACAUAACUGACGCUAAGGCGUGAAAGCGUGGGGAGCAAACAGGAUUAGAUACCCUAGUAGUCC
rnacentral:rRNA from 1 species